AUCAGGAGGGCUUGCCGUUCUGCUGAAGGGCAUGUUGUCUGAUUGAAUGAUGGUGAAACAAUAUUUGCCAUCUCCUCCAUCUCCUAAUCCCAGCUGCGGCCACCUCUGCCCUACAUCCGCCGGGCAGCCUUUCUUGCCAUGUAACUUCCAAACCAGAAUUUAACUUUAAAUUGGAAGAACCAUUUGACAAGAAACCUCAAACCACAAAGAAGGACAGCACUAAGAUGCUCAUCUUAAAGAAGAAAAUCUCUCUCUACUUUUUUCCAUAAAAACAUUUGUGAAAUGUCUUGAUUUGAGUUAUUUUGAUUUUUUUUUUGGUUGGUUUGUUUUGUUUUCCCUCUGUGAGUGAUCAACCUGUGAAGCAAAAGGAGAAAAGCCUGUAGGAAGAGGAAAAGGAACUUCAGGACAAUUCUUCCCUGUGUCAGAAGGGGGCAAUAUGACUACAUGAAAGAAGACUACAGUCUAUGAUCGUCUAUGGCCACAAUGCUGAAAUAAACAUGUUGAAUUCCCAAAGAAACAUA